AUUGAACGCUGGCGGCAGGCCUAACACAUGCAAGUCGAACGAGUGGCGGACGGGUGAGUAAUGUCUGGGAAACUGCCUGAUGGAGGGGGAUAACUACUGGAAACGGUAGCUAAUACCGCAUACCAUCAGAUGUGCCCAGAUGGGAUUAGCUAGUUGGUGGGGUAACGGCUCACCAAGGCGACGAUCCCUAGCUGGUCUGAGAGGAUGACCCGCCACCCUGGAACUUAGACACGGUCCAGACUUCUAUGGGAGGCCGGAGUGGGGAAUGUUUGACAAUGGGCGCAAGUCUGAUUGAGCCAUGCCGCGGGUAGGAAGAAGGCCUUCGGGUUGUAAAGUACUUUCAGCGGGGAGGCGUUACCCGCAGAAGAAGCACCGGCUAACUCCGUGCCAGCAGCCGCGGUAAUAC
rnacentral:rRNA from 1 species